rnacentral:rRNA from 1 species
GAUGAACGCUAGCGAUAGGCCUAACACAUGCAAGUCGAGGGGCAUCACGGAGUAGCAAUACUUUGGUGGCGACCGGCGCACGGGUGAGUAACGCGUAUGCAAUCUACCUACAACAGGGGGAUAACCCGGAGAAAUCCGGACUAAUACCGCAUAACACAGGGGUCCCGCAUGGGAAUAUUUGUUAAAGAUUUAUCGGUUGUAGAUGAGCAUGCGUUCCAUUAGGUAGUUGGUGAGGUAACGGCCCACCAAGCCUGCGAUGGAUAGGGGAACUGAGAGGUUUGGCCCCACACUGGAACUGAGACACGGACCAGACUCCUACGGGAGGCAGCAGUGAGGAAUAUUGGUCAAUGGGCGAGAGCCUGAACCAGCCAAAUCGCGUGAAGGAAGACUGCCUUAUGGGUUGUAAACUUCUUUUGUACAGGAAUAAAAAGAGGGACGUGUCCUUCAUUGCAUGUACUGUACGAAUAAGCAUCGGCUAACUCCGUGCCAGCCGCCGCCGUAA